UCCGGUUUGUCACCGGCAGUCACCUUAGAGUGCCCAACUAAAUGCUGGCAACUAAGAUCAAGGGUUGCGCUCGUUGCGAGACUUAACCCAACAUCUCACGACACGAGCUGACGACAGCCAUGCACCACCUGUACACCCCCAAAAGAAGCCCCAUCUCUGAGGCGGCAGGGUGUAUGUCAAACCCAGGUAAGGUUCUUCGCGUUGCGUCGAAUUAAACCACAUGCUCCGCUGCUUGUGCGGGUCCCCGUCAAUUCCUUUGAGUUUUAGCCUUGCGGCCGUACUCCCCAGGCGGGGCACUUAAUGCGUUAGCUGCGGCACGGAACCCGUGGAAUGGGUCCCACACCUAGUGCCCAACGUUUACGGCAUGGACUAC
rnacentral:misc_RNA from 1 species